GACGAACGCUGGCGGCGUGCUUAACACAUGCAAGUCGUACGGUAAGGCCCUUUCGGGGGUACACGAGUGGCGAACGGGUGAGUAACACGUGAGUAACCUGCCCACAACUUUGGGAUAACGCUAGGAAACUGGUGCUAAUACUGGAUAUGUGCUCCUGCUGCAUGGUGGGGGUUGGAAAGCUCCGGCGGUUGUGGAUGGACUCGCGGCCUAUCAGCUUGUUGGUGGGGUAGUGGCCUACCAAGGCGGCGACGGGUAGCCGGCCUGAGAGGGUGACCGGCCACAUUGGGACUGAGAUACGGCCCAGACUCCUACGGGAGGCAGCAGUGGGGAAUAUUGCACAAUGGGCGCAAGCCUGAUGCAGCAACGCCGCGUGCGGGAUGACGGCCUUCGGGUUGUAAACCGCUUUCAGCAGGGACGAAGCUUUUUGUGACGGCACCUGCAGAAGAAGCACCGGCUAACUACGUG
rnacentral:rRNA from 1 species